rnacentral:rRNA from 1 species
UUCAGAGGUCUCAAGCGUUGUUCGGAUUCAUUGGGCGUAAAGGGUGCGUAGGCGGCGCGGUAAGUCGGGUGUGAAAUCUUGGAGCUUAACUCCGAAACUGCAUUCGAUACUGCCGUGCUUGAGGACUGGAGAGGAGACUGGAAUUUACGGUGUAGCGGUGAAAUGCGUAGAUAUCGUAAGGAAGACCAGUGGCGAAGGCGGGUCUCUGGACAGUUCCUGACGCUGAGGCACGAAGGUCAGGGGAGCAAACGGG